rnacentral:rRNA from 1 species
GAGGGGUAAAUCCGUAGAGAUCAGAAGGAAUACCGAUGCGAAGGCGAUCUACUGAACAUACUGACGCUGAGAUGCGAAGCGUGGGGAGCAAACAGGAUUAGAUACCCUGGUAGUCACGCCUAAACGAUGCACACUAGUUGUUGCUAUGCUAGACAUAGCAGUAAUGCAGUUAACACAGUAAGUGUGCCGCCUGGGAGUACGGUCGCAAGAUUAAAACUCAAAGGAAUAGACGGGGACCCGCACAAGCGGUGGAGCAUGUGGUUUAAUUCGACGAUACGCGAAGAACCUUACCUGGCCUUGACAUAGUAAGAAUCUAAUAGAGAUAUAAGAGUGCUAGUUUACUAGAGCUUAUAUACAGGUGCUGCACGGCUGUCGUCAGCUCGUGUCGUGAGAUGUUGGGUUAAGUCCCGCAACGAGCGCAACCCUCGUGUUUAGUUACUAACAGUUCGGCUGAGGACUCUAGACAGACUGCCUGGGUAACCAGGAGGGAGGUGAGGACGACGUCAAGUCAUCAUGGCCCUUACGGCCAGGGCUACACACGUGCUACAAUGGGGUAUACAAAGAGCCGCGAUACCGUGAGGUGGAGCAAAUCUCAUAAAAUAUCUCCCAGUUCGGAUUGAAGUCUGCAACUCGACUUCAUGAAGUUGGAAUCGCUAGUAAUCGUAGAUCAGCAAUGCUACGGUGAAUACGUUCCCGGGUCUUGUACUCACCGCCCGUCACACCAUGGGAGUUGAUUUCAUUCGAGGCGGGGAUGCUAAAAUAGCUCCUUCCACAGUGGAAUUAGCGACUAGGGGAAGUCGUAACAAGGUACC